rnacentral:rRNA from 1 species
AUGGUUGGCUGGUGGUGCAUGCCUCCCCUCUACAUACUACUCGGGCUUCUCCUCUUGCAUACUGCUCCUUGGUGCUCCUCUGCAGCUGCCACUGAAGACACUCUCACAGCAGGCCACGCGCUCGGUGUUGGUGACAAGCUCAUCUCAAGAAACGGCAAGUUCGCCCUUGGCUUCUUCCAGCCAGCAGCAAGCAGCAUCAGUAAGUCGUCCCGCAAUGCCACCUCCCCCAGCUCCAGCUGGUACCUUGGCAUAUGGUUCAAUAAGAUCUCAGUUUUCACUACCGUGUGGGUUGCUAAUAGAGAGGAGCCCAUCACCCACCCCAACCUCAACCUGACACAGCUCAAGAUCUCAAGCGAUGGCAAUCUUGUCAUCAUAAACCAUGCCGCCAAAACUGAAUCCAUUGUUUGGUCCACUCACAUUGUCAAUAGGAAAACCAGUAGCAUAAACACCACCGCCUCUAUUGCCGUUGUUCUCUUGAACAGUGGUAACCUUGCCCUACUCGCAAAUAGCCAAGACAUGUUGUGGCAGAGCUUCGACUACCCAACAGAUGUUGCGCUUCCUGGUGCCAAGUUAGGCCGGAACAAGGUCCCUGGUUUCAUUCGUCAGUACAUAUCAAAGAAAAGCCUCAUUGAUCUGGGUCUAGGGUCAUACAGCAUUGAACUAGACAGCACCGGGAUCGUCCUCAAGCAUCGCAACCCCUCGGUAGUGUACUGGCAUUGGGCAUCCUCCAGAACAUCAUCGUUGAAUCUUGUGCAAUUAAUCAAGACCACGUUAGAUUUGGAUCCCCGGACAAAAGGUUUGAUUAACCCAACAUAUGUUGACAACGACCAAGAGGAGUACUACAUGUACACUUUGCCGGAUGAAUCAUCGUCUUCUGUGUUUGUCUCACUAGAUAUCUCUGGUCAGAUAAAGGUGAAUGUUUGGUCACAAGCCAGCCAGUCUUGGCAAAGCAUAUAUUCUGAGCCUGCCGAUCCCUGCACUCCGCCUGCUACUUGCGGACCUUUCACGGUCUGCAACGGCAUUGCACAUCUAUCAUGUGACUGUAUGGAGAGUUUCUCCCAGAAGUCACCGCAGGAUUUGGAGUUUGAGGAUCGAACAGGAGGAUGCAUCAGAAACACACCGUUACAUUGCAGCACUAGUGGUAACAACAAAAACAUGACAAAUUCAACAGACAUAUUCCACCCCAUUGCUCAAGUUGCACUGCCCUACAACCCGCAAAUUAUAGAUGUUGCUACUAAAAGUAAAUGUGAAGAAGCAUGUCUUGGUUCCUGCUCCUGCACUGCCUAUUCCUAUAGCAAUAGCAGAUGCUCUGUCUGGCAUGGGGAAUUGUUUAGUGUAAAUCUUAAUGAUGGCAUUGAUAAUAAUUCUGAAGAUGUUCUUUAUCUUCGCCUUGCUGCCAAAGAUUUGCUACCAGGUUCCAGAAAUAACAAAAGAAAACCAAAGGUCGGAGUUGUUACUAUUGCAAGUAUUAUUGGUUUUGGGUUAAUAAUGGUCAUGCUGUUGUUACUGAUUUGGAGGUACAAAUUCAAGUGCUGUGGUUUGCCUAUAUACGACAAUCCAGGUAGUGCUGGUGGAAUCGUAGCCUUCAGAUACACUGACUUGGUUCGUGCUACUAAAAGCUUCUCAGAAAAGCUUGGAGGAGGUGGUUUUGGUUCUGUAUACAAGGGGGUGUUAAGUGACUCAACGACUACUAUAGCAGUGUAA